rnacentral:lncRNA from 1 species
GGGAGUCAAGGAAGCGAGGGUGUGGAUGUUGGGCACCUGUGUGCUUGGGUGCCAUCAGAGGAUGCACAGACAGGACUGUGGGCCACCUCCACCAGGCAGACCCCCUGGGCCUCACCUCCCAGUUGCCCUCCGGUUGGACUCUCAUUAGGCACUGGAUAGGCCCCCUGGGGAAACACGGGGCCACUUCCAGCGGGGGUGCACACAAUGCUCUCGGUGAAGCCUCUGAACCCUGCAAGGGGGGCUCCCCAGCCUGCCUUACAGAUGAAGAACCGACGACUGGAAGAGGCCAAGUGACGGGCCCAAGGCCACCGAGCAGGCCCAGCCAUUCCUGGGUUUGAGCCUGGGCUGGGAAGGCAGGCGGGGGCGCCGCCACUGAGGGUCUCAUGCCAACAGCCCCCCAGGUCCCCAGGCCCCCUGACCUAGCACAGCACUUUGCCUGCUCGGCUCCUUCCAUCCUAACAACCGACAGGGCAGGCCUGUCCCUGUCCUUACCUUGCAGACGAGGAACCCAAGCUCAGGGAGGUGACCUGGCCAUGGCCACACGGCUGCUGGCAGGUGGCAGGGUCUGGCUCCAGACUGGGCCUCCUGCAUGGAAGCUGGCACUUCCCUGAGAGCCGAGUGGCAGAGAGGAAAGCGCUAGCACCCAGGCAGCAGCCCUCAGUGCCCGCACUGUGCGCCGGGCCUUCAUGAAGCCGACAUCGGCUCAGGGUCUCCUGGAGCAGGUCUGGGGCGGCCUGGUUCUGCACUGUGGACAAGUGUUCUAGAUGAUUCUGACGCCUAUUCAUGCCUGGGAACCAUUGCUUCUCCUCCUUCUUCCUGUGAACAGCCCAGGGGCGCUCGGCCCAGGGGUCUCAGGCCACGGGGGCAGCACAAAGAACGCAGGCCCAGGCUUGCACCCCAGGGCCCUUGGGAAGGUCACUGAGCCCCACGGGGCCUCAGUUUCCUCCUAUGCAUGGAGGCAGUGCUGUGUUGCAGGACAGCCCUGGCAGGCAUCUGCCCCUCGCUCCUGGCACCCAUCUCUACC